rnacentral:rRNA from 1 species
AUACGUAGGGGGCGAGCGUUGUCCGGAAUGAUUGGGCGUAAAGGGCGCGUAGGCGGCCCGGUAAGUCUGGAGUGAAAGUCCUGUUUUUAAGAUGGGAAUUGCUGUGGAUACUGUCGGGCUUGAGUGCAGGAGAGGGAAGUGGAAUUCCCAGUGUAGCGGGGAAAUGCGUAGAGAUUGGGAGGAACACCAGUGGCGAAGGCGACUUACUGGACUGUAACUGACGCUGAGGCGCGAAAGUGUGGGGAGCAAACAGGAUUAGAUACCCUGGUAGUCCACACUGUAAACGAUGAAUGCUAGGUGUAGGGGGUAUCGACCCCUUCUGUGCCGCAGUCAACACAAUAAGUAAUCCACCUGGGGAGUACGGCCGCAAGGUUAAAACUCAAAUGAAUUGACGGAG